GACGAACCGUGCGAACGUUGUUCGGAAUCACUGGGCCUAAAGGGCGCGUAGGCGGGCCGGCCAGUCUGUGGUGAAAUCCCCCGGCUCAACCGGGGAAUUGCCGUGGAUACUGCCGGCCUCGAGGAGGGUAGGGGCACCUGGAACUAGCGGUGGAGCGGUGAAAUGCGUUGAUAUCGCUAGGAACUCCGGUGGCGAAGGCGAGGUGCUGGACCCUUUCUGACGCUGAGGCGCGAAAGCCAGGGGAGCAAACGGG
rnacentral:rRNA from 1 species